CCUACGGGAGGCAGCAGUGGGGAAUAUUGCACAAUGGGGGGAACCCUGAUGCAGCAACGCCGCGUGGGUGAAGAAGUACUCCGGUAUGUAAAGCCCUGUCAGCAGGGAAGAAAAUGACGGUACGUGACCAAGAAGCCCCGGAUAUCUACGUGCCAGAAGCCGCGGUACUACGUAGGCUGCAAGCGUUAUCCGGAUUUACUGGGUGUAAAGGGAGCGUAGUCGGGUCGGCAAGUCCGGAGUGAAAGCCCGUGGCUCAACCACAGGACUGCAUUUGAUACUGUGUGGCUGGAGUGCAGGAGGGGUAGGCGGAAUUCCUGGUGUAGCGGUGAAAUGCUUAGAUAUUAGGAAGAACACCGAUGGCGAAGGCAGCUUACUAAACUGUAACUGACGUUGAGGCUCGAAGGCGUGGGGAGCAAACAGGAUUAGAUACCCUUGUAGUC
rnacentral:rRNA from 1 species